rnacentral:misc_RNA from 1 species
UUAAAUCUUUAUUGGAUUCAGACACAAGACUUGAUUCUGCAUAGAGACGGCCCUCCCAUGAGAGAGGGCCGAAGCACGUCUCACUUCCACAGGUUUAAGGGUUGAAGGCCUAGGAGACCAUUCGUUAAUGAUCCCUCCGCAGGUUCACCUACGGAGA